rnacentral:rRNA from 1 species
UACGUAGGGGGCAAGCGUUGUCCGGAUUUAUUGGGCGUAAAGAGCGUGUAGGCGGCCAGACAGGUCCGUUGUGAAACUCGAGGCUCAACCUCGAGACGCCGAUGGAAACCGUCUGGCUAGAGUCCGGAAGAGGAGAGUGGAAUUCCUGGUGGUAGCGGUGAAAUGCGCAGAUAUCAGGAAGAACACCCGUGGCGAAGGCGGCUCUCUGGGACGGUACUGACGCUGAGACGCGAAAGCGUGGGGAGCGAACAGG